GCCUGCGUCCCAUCAGCUUGUUGGUGAGGUAACGGCUCACCAAGGCGACGACGGGUAGCUGGUCUGAGAGGAUGAUCAGCCACACUGGGACUGAGACACGGCCCAGACUCCUACGGGAGGCAGCAGUGGGGAAUAUUGGACAAUGGGCGAAAGCCUGAUCCAGCAAUGCCGCGUGAGUGAUGAAGGCCUUCGGGUUGUAAAGCUCUGUCGGGAGGGACGAAUGGUGCCGGGUAACUCCGGUAAUUGACGGUACCUCCAAAGGAAGCACCGGCUAACUCUGUGCCAGCAGCCGCGGUAAUACAGAGGGUGCAAGCGUUGUUCGGAAUUACUGGGCGUAAAGCGCGUGUAGGCGGCGUUAUAAGUCGGAUGUGAAAGCCCUCGGCUCAACCGAGGAAGUGCAUCUGAUACUGUAGUGCUUGAGUGUCGGAGGGGGUGGCGGAAUUCCCGGUGUAGAGGUGAAAUUCGUAGAUAUCGGGAGGAACACCUGUGGCGAAGGCGGCCACCUGGACGACAACUGACGCUGAGACGCGAAAGCGUGGGUAGCAACAGGAUUAGAUACCCUGGUAGUCCACGCUGUAAACGAUGAGUGCUAGACGCUGUGGGUAUUGACCCCUGCCGGUGUCGAAGUUAACACGUUUAAGCACUCCCGCCUGGGGAGUACGGUCGCAAGAUUAAAACUCCUAGGAAUUGACGG
rnacentral:rRNA from 1 species